rnacentral:rRNA from 1 species
CCACUGAACCUUAUCAUUUAGAGGAAAGGAGAAGUCGUAACAAGGUUCCCGUAGGUGAACCUGCGGAAAGGAUCAUU